AUUGAACGCUGGCGGCAGGCCUAACACAUGCAAGUCGAGCGAGCGGCGGACGGGUGAGUAAUGUAUGGGGACUGCCCGAUAGAGGGGGAUAACUACUGGAAACGGUGGCUAAUACCGCAUACUAUCGGAUAACCCAUAUGGGAGUAGCUAGUAGGGGGGGGAAAGGCUCACCUAGGCGACGAUCUCUAGCUGGUCUGAGAGGAUGAGAAGCGACGCGGGGAAUGAGACACGGCCCAGACUCCUCCGGAGGCAGCAGUGGGGAAUGUUGCACAAUGGGCGCAAGCCUGAUGCAGCCAUGCCGCGUGUAUGAAGAAGGGCUUAGGGUUGUAAAGUACUUACAGCGGGGAGGCGUUACCCGCAGAAGAAGCACCGGCUAACUCCGUGCCAGUAGCCGCGGUAAUAC
rnacentral:rRNA from 1 species